GGGCCCGUGGUGUAGUGGUUCUCACAUUUGUCUUACAAUUGGUAUUGUACACAAAAGGUCGCCAGUUCGAUCCUGGCCGGACUCA